GCAAUUGAUAACAUUAGAGCCAUCUGAUAAAAAAACUCACCAAGUCAUUCAACAGUUUUUUAUGACAGAGUUGUUUCCAAAUAGGUAAAAUCAACAUUUCAGAUGUAAAAGGAAAAUCAAAGUAAAAUGACUUCAAGUUGUGUGUCAAACUUGGACAGUACUUGAACUUAGAGGGUGUUUUCUUUAAGCCUCUCUUCAAUAAAAUGAAUAGACAAUGAGGGAGAGCCAUGUUAGUUUCAUUAUUGAAACAACAGUGACAGCUCAACCGCUCCUUGCUGCCAAACCUCCACCUUUCUUUCUAUGUCGUAACCCUGCUUUGUCACCGAGACCAUAGGUACCUGUCUCCGUUAAGACGCGAGUCACCAUUUAAAUCAUUCCUCCAUGCAAGCCUUAUCUUUGCAAAGCUACCGCGCUACUUCUUGCACCACAUCUCUCCCCUAUCAAAACCAUAAUUGAAUCGAGGCAGCAACAAUGCAGAUGGAUAUGGACUAAUGUAGCGUCGAAGUAUACUGCCUUGUGCAGACGGGUAUGGACUAAUCCAUGGGAGCCAUAUCAUGUCAAAGUUUGAAGGUACGAAAAGGGAUUUGAAUGAUAUUACGUGUGGAGCAUAAGGAUUCUUAAGCUCUAGUGAAGACAAAAGACCAUCAACCGUCACCGGUGGAUACGAUGGUCAGAUACAAUCUGAGUGGAACUUAUCACCAUGUAUGUAUACCGUAC